rnacentral:rRNA from 1 species
CCUACGGGAGGCAGCAGUGGGGAAUAUUGCACAAUGGGCGCAAGCCUGAUGCAGCCAUGCCGCGUGUGUGAAGAAGGCCUUCGGGUUGUAAAGCACUUUCAGCGGGGAGGAAGGCGGUGAGGUUAAUAACCUCAUCGAUUGACGUUACCCGCAGAAGGAGCACCGGCUAACUCCGUGCCAGCAGCCGCGGUAAUACGGAGGGUGCAAGCGUUAAUCGGAAUUACUGGGCGUAAAGCGCACGCAGGCGGUCUGUCAAGUCGGAUGUGAAAUCCCCGGGCUCAACCUAGGAACUGCAUUCGAAACUGGCAGGCUAGAGUCUUGUAGAGGGGGGUAGAAUUCCAGGUGUAGCGGUGAAAUGCGUAGAGAUCUGGAGGAAUACCGGUGGCGAAGGCGGCUCCCUGGACAAAGACUGACGCUCAGGUGCGAAAGCGUGGGGAGCAAACAGGAUUAGAUACCCCAGUAGUC